UAUGUAUAAAAGUAACUUAAAAUGGGGAGCCUAGAAGCCUUUGUCUUUUUAGAAAACGGAGUUACUUCAUAUACAAUAAUAAGCUUGGCCCUGACUUACAUAUAUAGCAUAAUACUAAGAAAUACACAUGGUUUUAUUAGAAAAAGGUGAGGCUAGGAAAAAGUGAAAACCAAGCGAAAAGCUUCGAUCGAAUCUUUUUUCCUAAGUAUUAUAUAAGACAUAAUGCUUAGUAAGGUUCCACUACACACCAGUGCUGAAGAUUAGGAAAAAAGCGUAAGCUUGUACUAGAUUAGUUUUAAAAAGGCCUGGUCAACUUGGUGCCAGCAUCCGCGGUUACACCAAGAGGUCAAGUUAUGUUCUUAAGGUAAAAAGGCAGUUAGGCAAAUAUAAUUGUUAGUUUCAUGAUUUUUUUGUUAGGGGGUGAAAUCCGCAAACAAAAUUAUAUUUCAAUUGAAUCUGAUUUUGAAGCUGACUCUGCGACAAUCUUGAGGGAAACUGGGAUUAGAUACCCCACUAUUCUUGAUUAUAAAUACAAUUUGAUUUACCGGAGUACUACGAAUAAAUAUGAUUUAAAACUCAAAGGGCUUGGCGGUGCUUUAGACUUCUCAGGGGAACUUGUUUCAUAAUCGAUAGUCCACGAUAUACCUGACCUUUUUUAGUUUAGCAGUAUGUAUACCGUCGUCGUCAGGUAACUUUUAAAAACAAAGAAGUUGGCAAGAAAAACUUAAUAAUUUUGGACGUCAGAUCAAGGUGCAGCCAAUAAAAAGGGGAGAAUGAGUUACAAUUAAAAUUUAUAUUAAUGGAAAAAAGCUUGAUAUAGUUUUCUCGAAAGCGGACUUGAAAGUAAAAAUUGUUAUACAAAUUUUUUGAAUCUAGCUCUGAAGCGUGCACACAUCGCCCGUCGCUCUCGUUGAAAAAUGAGAUAAGUCGUAACAUAGUAGGGGUAAUGGAAGUUGCCCCUAGAUG
rnacentral:rRNA from 1 species